GACGAACGCUGGCGGCGUGCCUAAUACAUGCAAGUCGAGCGGAGGUUGGAGAGCUUGCUCUUCAACUUUAGCGGCGGACGGGUGAGUAACACGUGGGCAACCUGCCCUGCAGAUCGGGAUAACUCCGGGAAACCGGUGCUAAUACCGAAUAGUUUUCGCCACCUCCUGGUGGCGUACGGAAAGACGGUUUCGGCUGUCACUGCAGGAUGGGCCCGCGGCGCAUUAGCUAGUUGGGGGGGUAACGGCCCACCAAGGCAACGAUGCGUAGCCGACCUGAGAGGGUGAUCGGCCACACUGGGACUGAGACACGGCCCAGACUCCUACGGGAGGCAGCAGUAGGGAAUCUUCCGCAAUGGACGAAAGUCUGACGGAGCAACGCCGCGUGAGUGACGAAGGUUUUCGGAUCGUAAAACUCUGUUGUGAGGGAAGAACAAGUACCAACUAACUACUGGUACCUUGACGGUACCUCACCAGAAAGCCACGGCUAACUUCGUGCCAGCAGCCGCGGUAAUAC
rnacentral:rRNA from 1 species